GUACAGUGGAUAUUAUUUUUGUAGUGUUAUAAUCAAGUUAUGUAGUCAAAAAAGUUAGUUACAAAAAAGUAGGCAAAACAUCAAGAAUUUUUUUAUAGAUAUAUUUCAGUGUCUGCUGAAGUGAAACAGGGAAUUUCUUUCAACUUUUAUUGUUUUUGGAUUAAGGUUCUGCAAAAAGCAGCUCGUUAGCCAAGCGGAAUGUGUGAUACUGAUAUACUGAUUCAGAGAGAGAAAGUGUAUGGCAACUGGAGAGAGGAAGAUACUAUCAGAAAAAAAACACCCAAACAUUUAUCUCUGAUUCUAAGUAUAGAUAUAGAUCCUUAAAUUUAUACUUUAAGAACAGUGACCAAUGUUUCAAAGUGCCUAAACUCUAGAAAUAUUUCGGUGAUCUUCGCUUAGCUCAGUGUUAACUGGUUCAUACCAAAAUUAAAUGCAAGAAAUAAAUAUCUUUGCUGGGUAACAUAUUACUUGAGUUUAGUAUUAUCAUAAAAUAACAGAAUCUUCUGAAUUAGAAAGUCAUCUAAUCCAACUCCCUUGAAAUGAAUAUGAACAAGCUGCUCAGAGCCUGGGCCAGCCUGAUCUUGAAUGUCUCCAAGGACAGGUGAUCCAUCCACCACCUCUCUGGGUGAUUUCUUUCAGUGCCUCACCACCUUCAUAGUAAAAAAAACCUUCUUUGUAUCUAAUGUGAAUUUAUCCUUUUACAUUUUAAAACCAUUUACAUUUGUCCUAUCGCAACAGACCUUGCUGAAGAAUCUGUCCUCUUCUCCUUAUAGCCCUCCUUCAGAUACUGAAAGGCUACUAUCACAUCUCCCCAGAGCCUUCUCUUUUCCAGGCUGAACAGUCCCAGCUCUUUCAGCCUGUCCUCACAGGGGAGGUAUUCCAUUUCUGCUCAUGCUCUAACAGAUCCAUGCCUCUCCUGUACUCGAGAACUCCACGUCAGGAUGGAGUACUCCAGAUGUGGUGUCACCAAUGCAGAGCAGAGGGGCAGGAUCAUCUACCUUGACCUGCUGACCACGAUUCUUUUGGUGCAGUCCAGGACAGGAGUGGCUUUCUGGGCUGUGAGGGUACACACUGCUAGUUCAUGUCCACUUGCUAUUUACUAGUAUCCCUAUGCCCAUUGUGGCAGGGCUGUUCUCUCUCCUUAUAUCCUUCAACUUGUACUGAUACAAGGGGUUGGUUACCAUUACCCAUGUGCAGUACCUUGCACUUGGAUUUUUUGAACCUCAUGAGGUUCUCCUUGUCCCACUGACAAAGGCUGUCUAAGUCUCUCUGAGUGGCAUCCCAUCCCUUAGUCAUCUUGACCUUAUCACAUAGCUUGUUGUCAUCCACAAACUUGAUGAGAAUGUACUUGAUCCCACUGCCAAUGUCACUGCUGAAGAUAUUAAAGAGCAUUGGUCCCACUACUGACCCCUGAGGAGCACCACUUGUUACUUUCUCUAGCCAGACAUUGAGCCAAUGACCACCACUCUCAAGGUAUGACUAGACUAAACUUUGUUCAUCAGUCCACCUUUCAAAUCCACACAUUUGGAAUUUGAAAAGAAGGAUAUGAUGGGGACUAUGUCCAAGUCUCUACUGACAUUAAGAUAGAUGACAUCAAGCAUUUUCCUCAUCCGCUCAUGUAGUUAUUCCAUCAUGAAAUCCACUAAUUAGCUUUUCAAAAUUAGUUCUUAUUUGUAACACUGAACAUUAUAAAUUGUAUUUUCUUUACAUAGCAGUAUCUAAUAGCUUUUCCCUGAAAUGAGCUUGUUUCUGAAGAAACAAAAAUUGGAUUCACUACUUUAGAACAUUUUAUAUUUUUUCUUCGUCAAAUCCUAACGAUUUUAAAUGCAUAGGUUUUCUUCAGUUUUGUUUAUUUUGUGGGGUAAUUUGAUAAAUUAAUGUGUAUUUUGUAAAGCAAACAAGUGUCAGGCAGUUAGUACAUAGCAUGAUAACAGAAUUGCUCUUUGAUUUGCGUAGUAGUGUUCCUGUUAAAAAUUCUGCUUGCCAGUCUUUGAGAUUAAAUUCUUUUAUAUAGAAUGAGUGUGUUAAGUCAAAUGAUGUGAAUCUGCCUAAACCACUUUCUUCUUGUAUCAAGCAGUCUCAGAAUUCUAUAAUAAUCCUUCCUUCCUAAAACUUUGGAAUUGCUUUUUAGACACAGUCUUUGUUUCUGUGUUUAAUUGUUACAAUAUCAAUAUGUCUUAUGUACUUUGAUACAUUCAAUAAAGUGCACUAGCACAGCAAAA